rnacentral:rRNA from 1 species
UGAGGAAUAUUGGUCAAUGGGCGCAAGCCUGAACCAGCCAUCCCGCGUGCAGGAAGACGGCCCUAUGGGUUGUAAACUGCUUUUCCAGGGGGAGAAACUUGCGUACGCGUUACGCAAUUGACGGUACCCCGGGAAUAAGCAUCGGCUAGCUCCGUGCCAGCAGCCGCGGUAAUACGGAGGAUGCGAGCGUUAUCCGGAUUCAUUGGGUUUAAAGGGUGCGUAGGCGGACUAUUAAGUCAGUGGUGAAAUCCUGCAGCUUAACUGCAGAACUGCCAUUGAUACUGAUAGACUUGAGUUUGGUUAAGGUAGGCGGAAUGUGUAAUGUAGCGGUGAAAUGCUUAGAUAUUACACGGAACACCAAUUGCGUAGGCAGCUUACUGAGCCGAUACUGACGCUGAGGCACGAAAGCGUGGGGAUCGAACAGGAUUAGAUACCCUGGUAGUCCACGCCGUAAACGAUGAUUACUCGCUGUUGGCGAUACACUGUCAGCGGCUAAGCAAAAGCAAUAAGUAAUCCACCUGGGGAGUACGGCCGCAAGGUUG